UUACAGUGCCAAAAUGUGCGCUAACCUAGAUCCCACAAAGGGUGUUGAUCGAUUAAGACAGUAGAAUGGUGGUCAUAGAACUCAAAAUCCGCUAAGGAGUAUGUAACAACUCACCUGCCGAAUCAACUAGCCCCAAAAAUGGAUGGCGCUUAAGCGCGCGACCUAUACCCAUCCGUUGGGGCAAGUGUUAGGCCCCGAUGAGUAGGAGGGCAUGGCGGUCACUGCAAAACUUUGGGCAUGAGCUCGGGUGAAGAAGUCGUCGGUGGAAAUAUUGAUGGUAGUAAAAAAUAUUCAAAUGAGAACUUUGAAGGCUGAAGAGGGGAAAGGUUCCAUGUGAACAACACAUUCACUUGGGUUAGUCGAUCCUAAGGUUUGGGGGAACCCUGACAGAUAGCGCAUUUCGUGCAUUCUCCUAAAGGGAGUCAGGUUAAAAUUUUUGAAUUAGGAUGUGGCGGUCGACAAAAACAUUAGGAAGUCUGGAGACGUCGGCGGGAGCCUCAGAAAGAGUUAUCUUUUUUAUUUAACAGCCUACCCACCCUAAAAUCGGCUCAGCCGAAGGUAGGGUCCAGCGGAUGGAAGAGCACCGCACUUCGCGUGGUGUUCGGUGUGCUCCUGGUGACUCGUGUAAAUCUAAAAGACCGAAUGUUGUACACGCCCGAUCGUACUCAUAACCGCAUCAGGUUUCCAAAGUGAACAGCCUCUGAUCGAUGGAACAAUGUAGGCAAGGGAAGUCGACAAAAUAGAUCCGUAACUUUGGGAAAAGGAUUGGCUCUGAGGGCUGUGCACGGAGAUCCCAGUCCCGAUCCCAUUGGCUUUUGGUUAGACUGCUCGAGAUGCUCCCGUGGUGAGAGCGAGUCAUCGCAUGCUGGCUGGGGGACAAACUGGGAAGGUUUCCUUCGGGGGCCUUCCCCAUGCAUCGAACAACCAACUCAGAACUUGUACUGACAAGGGGAGUCCGACUGUUUAAUUAAAACAAAGCAUUGUGAUGUUCCCAACAGAUGUUCACAUAAUGUGAUUUCUGCCAAGUGCUCUAAAUGUCAAAGUGAAAAAAUUCAACCAAGCACGGGUAAACGGAGGAAGUAACUAUGACUCUCUUAAGGUAUCCAAAUGCCUCGUCAUCUAAUUAGUGACACGCAUAAAUGGAUUAACGAGACUCCCCCUGUCCCUGUCUACUAUCCAGUGAAACCACAACCAAAGGAAUGGGCUUGGCAGAGUCUGCGAGGAAAGAAGACCCUGUUAAGCUUGACUCUAGUUUGACUUUAUGAAAUAAAUUAAGAGCUGUAGUAUAAAUGUGAGUCUAAAGGAGAAAGUGAAACACCACUAAUUUUAACAAUAUUUUACUUAUUUCGUGAAUUGGAAGUGGGGCACUGCCCCUCUUUUUGGACCCAAGGCUCGAUCUACAAGCCGAACCAGGUAGAAGACAUUGUUAGGUGGGGAGUUUGGCUGGGGCAGCACAUUUGUUAAAACAUAAUGCAGGUGUCUUAAGAUGAGCUCAACGAUAACAGAAAUCUCAUGUGGAACAAAAAGGUAAAAGCUAGUUUGAUUCUGAUUUUCAGUACGAAUACAAACCGUGAAAACGUGACCUAACGAUUCUUUAGACCUUUGGAAUUCGAAGCUAGAGGUGUCAAAAAAGUUACCAGAGGGACAACUAGUUUGUGGCAGCCAAGUGUUCAUAACGACAUUGCUCUUUGAUCCUUCGAUGUCGGCUCUUCUUAUCAUUGUGAAGAAGAAUUCACGAAGCGUUGGAUUGUUCACCGACUAAUAGGGAAUGUGAGCUGGGUUUAGACCAUAUGAGACAGGUUAGUUUUAUCCUACUGAUUAGCAUACCUACUUAACUUGGGUUUCCUCCUAAGCAGUGCUUAAUUUAGCAUCGCAGUAUUGGCCAAUUAACUUUUUCCUCCACCUAGAGGAUAUAAAUUUCACCUCCAACAUCAUAUCCCUUUUUUUGCCUCGAUCAUAGAGAGGUGUUACAAACAAUUAGGAAUUGAGUAAUGGAAUAUGCAUGAUAAACCACUCAUCCUUGAAGAGAGGUGUGUUUUAUGUUACUUUUCUUGUGCAAAAUUAAGAAUAUAGGAUUCUUAUUCCUCAUCUUCACACUUUCCUACUGCUUUAAAUGACUCCACAGACAAGACAUCAUCUAAACAUAAUGUAUAAAAGAGUUUUGAAU
rnacentral:rRNA from 1 species